rnacentral:rRNA from 1 species
AAGCUGGUCUCUUUGAGUUCCGGCAUUGUAAUGGGAACAAUUUAAAUCAUUUAUCGAGGAUCUAUUGGAGGGCAAGUCUGGUGCCAGCAGCCGCGGUAAUUCCAGCUCCAAUAGCGUAUACWAAAGUUGCUGCGGUUAAAAAGCUCGUAGUUGGAUCUAGGAUUAGGGCUACGGUCGUUCAGCUUGGACGUACUGUAUGUCCGACUCCUUUUCUCCAGUAUUCGAUUGUUGCUCUUAAAUGAGUGACUCUAGUUGCUGGAACUUUUACCUUGAAAAAAUUGAAGUGCUCAAAGCAGGUCUCUGCCUGAACAUUGCUGCAUGGGAUAAUAGAAUAAGAUUUCGGUCUUAUUUUGUUGGUUUCGGGACACGAAAUAAUGAUUAAUAGGGACAGACGGGGGCAUUUGUAUUGCUGCGUUAGAGGUGAAAUUCUUGGAUCGUAGCAAGACAAACUACUGCGAAAGCAUUUGCCAA